rnacentral:rRNA from 1 species
GACGAACGCUGGCGGCGUGCUUAACACAUGCAAGUCGAACGGAAAGGCCCUGCUUUUGUGGGGUGCUCGAGUGGCGAACGGGUGAGUAACACGUGAGUAACCUGCCCUUGACUUUGGGAUAACUUCAGGAAACUGGGGCUAAUACCGGAUAGGAGCUCCUGCUGCAUGGUGGGGGUUGGAAAGUUUCGGCGGUUGGGGAUGGACUCGCGGCUUAUCCGCUUGUUGGUGGGGUAGUGGCUUACCAAGGCUUUGACGGGUAGCCGGCCUGAGAGGGUGACCGGCCACAUUGGGACUGAGAGACGGCCCAGACUCCUACGGGAGGCAGCAGUGGGGAAUAUUGCACAAUGGGCGGAAGCGUGAUGCAGCAACGCCGCGUGCGGGAUGACGGCCUUCGGGUUGUAAACCGCUUUCGCCUGUGACGAAGCGUGAGUGACGGUAAUGGGUAAAGAAGCACCGGCUAACUACGUG